GAUGAACGCUGGCGGCGUGCUUAACACAUGCAAGUCGAACGGAAAGGCCCAAGCUUGCUUGGGUACUCGAGUGGCGAACGGGUGAGUAACACGUGGGUGAUCUGCCCUUCACUUCGGGAUAAGCCUGGGAAACUGGGUCUCAUACCGGGUAGGACCACUUCUUGGAUGUUGUGGUGGAAAGUUUUUUCGGUGUGGGAUGAGUUCGCGGCCUAUCAGCUUGUUGGUGGGGUAAUGGCCUACCAAGGCGUCGACGGGUAGCCGGCCUGAGGGGGUGUACGGCCACAUUGGGACCGAGAUACGGCCCAGGCACCUACGGGAGGCAGAAGUGGGGAAGAUUGAACAAUGGGCGCAAGCCGGAUGCAGCGAGGCCGCGUAGGGGAUGACGGCGUUCGGGUUGUAAACUCAUUUCGCUAGGGACGAAGCGUUUUGUGACGGUACCUGGAGAAGAAGCACCGGCUAACUACGUG
rnacentral:rRNA from 1 species